UUUGAUGGCGACCGGCGCACGGGUGAGUAACACGUAUCCAACCUGCCGAUGACUCGGGGAUAGCCUUUCGAAAGAAAGAUUAAUACCCGAUGGCAUAGUUCUUCCGCAUGGUAGAACUAUUAAAGAAUUUCGGUCAUCGAUGGGGAUGCGUUCCAUUAGGUUGUUGGCGGGGUAACGGCCCACCAAGCCUUCGAUGGAUAGGGGUUCUGAGAGGAAGGUCCCCCACAUUGGAACUGAGACACGGUCCAAACUCCUACGGGAGGCAGCAGUGAGGAAUAUUGGUCAAUGGACGAGAGUCUGAACCAGCCAAGUAGCGUGAAGGAUGACUGCCCUAUGGGUUGUAAACUUCUUUUAUACGGGAAUAAAGUGAGGCACGCGUGCCUUUUUGUAUGUACCGUAUGAAUAAGGAUCGGCUAACUCCGUGCCAGCAGCCGCGGUAAUACGGAGGAUCCGAGCGUUAUCCGGAUUUAUUGGGUUUAAAGGGAGCGUAGGCGGACGCUUAAGUCAGUUGUGAAAGUUUGCGGCUCAACCGUAAAAUUGCAGUUGAUACUGGGUGUCUUGAGUACAGUAGAGGCAGGCGGAAUUC
rnacentral:rRNA from 1 species